UACCAUCGGGCGAUGAUACUGGAAUGGCAGU
rnacentral:piRNA from 1 species